CAGUACCAGUUUGUUAAUGCUUUUAACAGUUAGUAACUCCUUCUACCUACUUCCUAAUCUUUUUUUUUUCUUUUCUUUUCCUAAACAAACAGAAAUCAAGCCUCAGGCUCAAUAGCCUUUGGCAAGCAACAGUAACUAGCCUUAACUAAAUACUUUUAAAAAUUGUUUUCUGAUUGUUUUCAUUGAAUUAAUGAGGUUGCCUGGCAUAUCUUUGUGAUCACUCAUUCAGUCCUUUAAAUUUAUUGAAAUAUUUUAAAACAGCACAUUAACACUACAAAAUUUAAGGAUCCAUCAGUCGCUGAUGCUAAGUGGAUCCCAGCUAAAUGUAGAGUCUCUCCUGGGACACAGGUGUUAUUUCUUGGGUUGAUGUUGCAGAGUGGUGGAGUCGGGGGUCCCAGUGCCAUAUAUCCUGUUCUGGGAGACCUGCAUAACGCAAUGACUUCUGACAUCUGCUCAACUCUUCUGAAACCAAAUCAGUUCUUAUUUUGGAUUCUA